GUUAGAUACGAUGAAAAAUUUACUAAAAUACAACAAUGCUUUAGUUCAAAUAACAAUGUUGUACAAGGAAUGCUAGAAAAUGGAUCAUAAAGUUUUGUUUACAAUACGUUGUUCAUUUGAAUAUACGGUUUAGUGUAGCAGCUAAGCGGACUCCACCUUGAGCUAAACGCCAUAGAACUAUUUGAUAUCGCGAUAGGAAAUAAUCA
rnacentral:misc_RNA from 1 species